rnacentral:rRNA from 1 species
CAGCCGUAAACUAUGCGCGUUAGGUGUAUCGGUGACCACGAGUUACCGAGGUGCCGAAGGGAAACCGUGAAACGUGCCGCCUGGGAAGUACGGUCGCAAGGCUGAGACUUAAAGGAAUUGGCGGGGGAGCACCACAACAGGUGGAGCCUGCGGUUUAAUUGGACUCAACGCCGGGAAGCUCACCGGAUAGGACAGCAGAAUGAUUGCCGGGCUGAAGACCCUGCAUGACUAGCUGAGAGGAGGUGCAUGGCGUCAGUGACUGU